CGCGGUAAUACGGAGGGUGCGAGCGUUAAUCGGAAUUACUGGGCGUAAAGCGCGCGUAGGCGGUUUGUUAAGUGUGAUGUGAAAGCCCAGGGCUCAACCUUGGAACUGCAUCACAUACUGGCAAGCUAGAGUACGGUAGAGGGGGGUAGAAUUCCAUGUGUAGCGGUGAAAUGCGUAGAGAUGUGGAGGAAUACCAGUGGCGAAGGCGGCCCCCUGGAUCGAUACUGACGCUGAGGUGCGAAAGCGUGGGGAGCGAACAGGAUUAGAUACCCUGGUAGUCCACGCCGUAAACGAUGAGUGCUAAGUGU
rnacentral:rRNA from 1 species